CACAACACUACUACGCUAAGUGCAAUUAUUGCAAGAAUUUCUGCCUUAACCCUACUUCUUCCUACUUCGUAAGCUUUUCAUUAGGGAACAGUUUUGCGCAUUGCGCAAUUACUUUUACGCAACUAGGAAAUAUCAAAUUCAUUCUCUAUCUUCUAGCGAAAAUACAUGAACAAAAAAAAAAAACAUAUUGGAAAUAUGCUGUAUACCGGUAACAAGCACAUUAUAAAGCAGUUUAGCAGAAGCACUCUAAACAAUGAUAUGGACGCGUGGCCUCCCCGCGCCCGUAUGCCUGUGAUUUCGAAACACUAGAGAAGGAGCGUACGAAAAUGGGAACGGUUUGGUAGAGAUCGAGAAAAAAAGAAGGAAAUUAUUUACCAGAAGGAAGAGGAAGAGGUUCUAGCCCGUGUGUCACACAACCCACACUCACAACUCCGCUCAAUGAAUAAUGUAAUCCUUCAGAAAGUCUUGCUGCACAUUGCUGCAACGAAAGGCGCAUGACACAAAACAAAACA